rnacentral:rRNA from 1 species
GACGAACCGAGCGAACGUUAUUCGGAAUCACUGGGCUUAAAGGGCGCGUAGGCGGGCCUGAAAGUCAGGGGUGAAAGCCCACGGCUCAACCGUGGAAGUGCCUCUGAUACUUCAGGCCUCGAGGGAGGUAGGGGCGUGCGGAACUUCCGGUGGAGCGGUGAAAUGCGUAGAUAUCGGAAGGAACGUCGGUGGCGAAAGCGGCGCGCUGGACCUCUUCUGACGCUGAGGCGCGAAAGCCAGGGGAGCGAACGGG